rnacentral:ncRNA from 1 species
GGGGCCACCUCGGGGUGCCCGGUUCCGGCCGGCUGAGAUGCGCGAAGCGAACCCGUUGAACCUGAACCGGCUAACACCGGCGGAGGGAAGGUUUCAGCCCUGAGA